rnacentral:sRNA from 1 species
ACCCCUCUGUGCGUAUGGCCAGUGCCUCUGGCCUGAGUUGACGGAGCUCUUCCUGUGGCCAGACAUCUACGUGUGCAUGAUCUCCUAUGCACACAACGUGGCGGCCCAGGGCAAGUACAUAGCUAUUGCCAGCACUACUGUGGAGACCACGGACCCUGAAAAGGAGGUGGAGCCAGCUCUGGAGCUGUUGGAGCCCAUUGACCAGAAGUUUGUGGCUAUCAGUGACUUGUAUGAGCCUAUUGAUGAUGGUUGUGAGAGCCAGGUAAGCAGCUUGUCCCAGCCCUGGCUCCUGGCUGCCCGCCCAGGGCACCUGCCUGACUCACCCUGGGCACUGGGCUCUGGCUGUUUCCAGGUGUUCUGUUCCUGCUCCUACGAUGCCACCACACACUUUGAGACAACCUGCAACGACAUCAAAGACAUCUACAAACGCAUGGCUGGCACGGCCUUUGACUUUGAGAACAUGAAGCGCAAACAGAACGACGUUUUUGGAGAAGCUGAGCAGUGAUUGUGGCCGCCCCCAGCCCCUGCUGCCCCAGCCUGUGUCUGUUCUC